CAACAGCUCAAAUUUGAAAUCUGGCUCCCUCGGGGUCCGAGUUGUAAUUUGUAGAGGGUGUUUCGGGCGCGAUGCCGGUCUAAGUUCCUUGGAACAGGACGUCGUAGAGGGUGAGAAUCCCGUAUGCGACCGGCGAUCAAGCCCGUGCGAAACCCCUUCGACGAGUCGAGUUGUUUGGGAAUGCAGCUCAAAAUGGGUGGUAAAUUUCAUCUAAAGCUAAAUACCGGCCAGAGACCGAUAGCGGACAAGUAGAGUGAUCGAAAGAUGAAAAGCACUUUGGAAAGAGAGUCAAACAGUACGUGAAAUUGUUGAAAGGGAAGCGCUUGCAAUCAGACCGGUCCGGAGGCGAUCAGCCGCUGCUUGUCAGCGGUGCACUCGCCUGCGAUCCGGCCAGCAUCGGUUUGGGCGGCGGGAUAAAAGUCCCGGGAAUGUAGCUCCUCCCGGGGAGUCUUAUAGCCCGGGUCGCAAUGCCGCCCGCCCGGACCGAGGACCGCGCUUCGGCUAGGAUGCUGGCGUAAUGGUUGCAAGCG
rnacentral:rRNA from 2 species